rnacentral:rRNA from 1 species
GUCUACAGCCAUGCCACCCUGAACACACCCAAUCUCGUCUGAUCUCAGAAGCUAAGCAGGGUCAGGCCUGGUUAGUACUUGGAUGGGAGACCACCUAGGAAGACUAGGUGCUGUAGGUG